AAAGUCGUAACAAGGUUUCCGUAGGUGAACCUGCGGAAGGAUCAUUAUAAAAAGGACCUUUUUGUUGUUUAAAAAAACAAAAGGCAAUCCUCCUCUCCCGAUUGAUGUCGGGGUUGGAUGGGGGGGACUUUCGAGAUUGCGACUCUGUUCGCUUUCUCGAAAUGGGAACUCCAGUUGCAUUGUCGCAAAAUUUCCAAUGAAUCGACUGUUGGAAAUUCUCGCUUUUGCGAGCAUUUUUAAUUAUUAUUUAAAUUCAAAAACUUUUGACAACGGAUCUCUUGGCUCUC
rnacentral:misc_RNA from 1 species